rnacentral:sRNA from 1 species
ACUUUACUUUGUGUUACUCAGAUAUUUAUUUUGGAAGUGUCAGCAGAGGUUCUCACAAUACUACAUCCCCUGUUAACCCUUCUUUUUCUUCUUUUUCAUUGCAGCUAUUUGGCCUACAGCAGCUGUGGAAAUUUAUACCUCCCGGGUGCUGGAGGCUGUUAAUGGGACAGAUGCUCGGUUAAAAUGCACUUUCUCCAGCUUUGCCCCUGUGGGUGAUGCUCUAACAGUGACCUGGAAUUUUCGUCCUCUAGAUGGGGGACCUGAGCAGUUUGUAUUCUACUACCACAUAGAUCCCUUCCAACCCAUGAGUGGGCGGUUUAAGGACCGGGUGUCUUGGGAUGGGAACCCUGAGCGGUAUGAUGCCUCCAUCUUUCUCUGGAAACUGCAGUUCGACGACAAUGGGACAUACACCUGCCAAGUGAAGAACCCACCUGAUGUUGAUGGGGUGAUAGGGGAGAUCCGGCUCAGUGUCGUGCACACUGUACGCUUCUCUGAGAUCCACUUCCUGGCUCUGGCCAUUGGCUCUGCCUGUGCACUGAUGAUCAUAAUAGUAAUUGUAGUGGUCCUCUUCCAGCAUUACCGGAAAAAGCGAUGGGCCGAAAGAGCUCAUAAAGUGGUGGAGAUAAAAUCAAAAGAAGAGGAAAGGCUCAACCAAGAGAAAAAGGUCUCUGUUUAUUUAGAAGACACAGACUAACAAUUUUAGAUGGAAGCUGAUGAUUUCCAAGAACAAGAACCCUAGUAUUUCUUGAGGUUAAUGGAAACUUUUCUUUGGCUUUUCCAGUUGUGACCCGUUUUCCAACCAGUUCUGCAGCAUAUACCUAGACAAGCAACAUCCCUCUGGAGCCAGCACAGUACUCCUCCAUAUCACCAAUCAUACACAGCCUCAUUAUUAAGGUCUUAUUUAAUUUCAGAGUGUAAAUUUUUUCAAGUGCUCAUUAGGUUUUAUAAACAAGAAGCUACAUUUUUGCCCUUAAGACACUACUUAUAGUGUUAUGACUUGUAUACACAUAUAUUGGUAUCAAAGGGGAUAAAAGCCAAUUUGUCUGUUGUAUUUCCUUUCAUGUAUUUCUUUUAGCAGCAUUUCUGCUACUAAAGUUAAUAUGUUUACUCUCUUUCCUUCCCAUAUUCUCAAUUAAAAGGUGAGCUAAGCCUCCUCGGUGUUUCUGAUUAACAGGAAAUCCUAAAUUCAAACUGUUAAAUGACAUUUUUAUUUUUAUGUCUCUCCCUAACUAUGAAACACAUCUUGUUUUAUUGAAUUUCUUUCAAUAUUCCAGGUGAUAAAUUUUUGUUGUUUUGUUAAUUAGUCCAA